rnacentral:lncRNA from 1 species
UUCAUCGGACAUAGAUCAAGAAAUUGUAAAUGGAUUGAUGCAAAUGUUUGAUGUUGAGAAUCAAAACAUUAAAACUUUUAGAAUGGUUAGGGAUCAUUUUAAGUAGUAAGAAUUCUUGCUUGUAUAAUUAAAGUUAUUCGAAAGGCAUCAAGAAAAUAGUGCACAGUAUAUUACUCCUUCAUGUUUUGAAAUUGUGGACUUGAUUAUUGGUGACAUCGGACAAGCAGAUCAUUAGCGAGAUAUUAUUGUGGAUCAUA